CCCUUAGAUGUUCUGGGCCGCACGCGCGCUACACUGACGAUGGCAACGAGUUUUUCCUUCGCCGAAAGGUGUGGGUAAUCUUUUGAAACAUCGUCGUGCUGGGGAUAGAUCAUUGCAAUUUUUGAUCUUGAACGAGGCAUUCCUAGUAAGCGCGAGUCAUCAGCUCGCGUUGAUUACGUCCCUGCCCUUUGUACACACCGCCCGUCGCUACUACCGAUUGAAUGGUUUAGUGAGGACUCCUGAUUGGCGCCGCCGCCCCGGCAACGGAGCAGCGGACUGCCGAAAAGUUGUUCAAACUUGAUCAUUUAGAGGAAGUAAAAGUCGUAACA
rnacentral:rRNA from 1 species